rnacentral:lncRNA from 1 species
AUAGUCAAUGUAGGAAUAGUCCAAUGUCAGUGCAAUGGAAGGAAAAUUCUAGACCUUUAGAAUUCUAAGACUUAAGUUCAGGAAGGCAAGUGGUGAUGAGUAGUACCAGCACUGGCUCACCAUGCCUCCCUCACCCGGUUUCCGCCGCUGUCUUCCAUGUUCACAUCUGAGAAUUUGUCCUCACCAGGGAUGGCAGGUGUCUCCUCCACAGCCUAUUUCAAAUGUCCCUCUCUCUGUCCACUGUAUCCUGUCUUCCAACACAUUGUCCAACUGCUGUCACUGCUCCAAGCCUUUGAUGUCAAGGAGACCUCUCAUGCCAAGCCCACCUCUGCCUUGGUGUCCCCCAGUGCCCCCCGCUUCUCUCCCCUCCCCUCCUGGUCCAGUUUAGGUUCCGUGGUCCAUGUUGUAUUUUCACUCCCUUCAACUUCCUUUCCCUCUCUGCCUCUGUUAAGCCAGUUCGGCAAAACCCCCAACCCUGGCUGUCCACUCUCUGCUGUCCCCUC